rnacentral:rRNA from 1 species
UACGUAGGUGGCAAGCGUUGUCCGGAUUUAUUGGGUUUAAAGGGUGCGUAGGCGGCCCUGUAAGUCAGUGCUGAAAUAUCCCGGCUUAACCGGGAGGGUGGCAUUGAUACUGCGGGGCUAGAGUACAGAUGAGGUAGGCGGAAUUGACGGUGUAGCGGUGAAAUGCUUAGAUAUCGUCAAGAACACCUAUAGCGAAGGCAGCUUACUACAGGAUGAUUAACGCUGAGGCACGAAAGCGUGGGGAGCAAACAGG